rnacentral:snRNA from 1 species
CAGUGUUACAACUCUUUUAGGAUUUGUCUAGCAGGUUUUCCAGUUUUCACCCAAAGGCCCCC